rnacentral:lncRNA from 1 species
GUCAGUAUCCCUCCGACAAUCCAAUGACCAGGAACCUUUUGAAUAUCUGGUUAUGUGAAGAAGGUCUCUGUAGUCUAACUUCAUUAGAUUACUUCUCCAAUCGAUCCAUUGUCCAUGGAUACACUAUUUAGGACAUAUGUCGUUUAUUGAGAUAGUCCUAAUUCGUGUCUUUGCCAUUUGAUGUAUAAGAUUCAUCCAUACAUCCAUUCAUUUGUCCUGAAAGAUUUCUUCCAAAUAUUGACUUUCAGGGCAUAUUUCCAACAAUCUCCCACUUGCACUAAAGUCAAUCACUAGUGUAUCUUAUACAUCUUGUCGAGAGAGUUUAUGCUCGUAGGUUAACUUGGUUAUGUAUUAAUCUCUUUUAUAUUUAAAAGGGAUUUACUUAUCAAAUGUUUCCAAGACAUUUGAUGAUGUCUCUUUAAUGUGUUCGAAUACUUUGAUGAGACCUUGAUUCCAUGGCUUGAGCUAUCGCCCCAUUACGUCGUAGUACUCUACUAACGACCUUAUGGUUUGGAUUCAAUCAUGGGUUCUGAAAGAACCCCUUUCAUUCAAAACACCUUUUGAAGCAGGUUCUAAAACUAUAUAUCUACAUAUAUUUCGUUAGUAUACUUUAUACAAACUUUGCUCCAAGCUUGAGACCACUGUAGUACAAUACUAACAAUUCAUUCAUAUGAUUAGUACUUCAUCCAUUAUGAAGUUCCAUUUGUUAAAAUGGCUUAUUUUCACUUUGGUUAACAACCUAAGUGAAUGCACGCUUCCAGAGUCCCACUCUGAUGUUUCUUUCUUAAAGGCAAUAAUACUCUAUCAGUUGCUUUGGUUCUGAUCCUGGGAUAUAGUAAUAUCUUAAAGUGAUAAACUCAGUGGUUUCUUCACCUUUGGAUAUCUACUUCACAAGUCAACACAUGUGUCCCUUUUGUGAUUUUAUGACACAUUCAUUAUAAGGGUUAUGAAAGUGAUUUCUUAUCACAUAGGAAAAUGCUUUCUUAAAUCUUCAACAUUUGAGAUUUAAUUCCCAUAUAACAUUAUUGAGACAGCCUUGCUAUAUCAGUAAGUCUAAUUUCAAGUCUAUACUUCAAAAUUGACCGUGUCAUGUUUUGUCAUUUUCGAGUAACAUCUAUGUUUCAUCAAGUCUAUCAAAUAGACUUUAUUCACAUCUUGUUGCUCAAAUUAUGACAUCACUCCCACUGGCCUUGUUGUAAGUUAGCAUUCAUUCAAAAAUAACAAUUAAAUUUUCUUGAUUUGAAUGCAUAUUGCUCCCACUAACUUGUCUUGGAUCCAUUGAGAUCCAUUAGCUUAUUGAUGAUGUCUCAACAAUUUUGAGACUAUCAACAACCCUAGCUAAUACAAGUUAUUUAAACGAAUCACAUACAAAAGAAUUCCUUCUAAAGUAAUUCCUUUUUGAAUAUGUGACUUGUUUUAUCAAGUCUAUUCAUUUAAUUAUACGAUGUCAUACACCAUACUUCAAGUUUUAGUCAUACUAAGACCUUUAAUGUAGUCAUAUAAGAAUUAUCCAAUUCCUUAGUGGAAGCAUGGCUCCUACUAAGGAUAUAGGUACUCAACCAUUCCUUCUAGGUGGUUAAUAUAAUUCUCUAUCAAAACUACAUAGAGCAAUAUCGUUACAUGAGAUGUUGAAUUUGGAUUGUCCUGUUGUUAAACCAUAUGUUGUGACUCAUUUUGAAACUUAUUCCCUUUUGUUUCAUCAACUUGUCCAUAUGCUUGUUAUUAGCAUGUUCUCAUAAAAGAGAAUGAUGGACAACUCCCAACAUAUAACCAUUUUAUGCUAGGUUGACGAAACCAACAUUCAAAGACUAUUCUUUAAAUGUUACAUAACAUAGAAUUUUAACGUUUGAAGAGCUUGAGUCCUUUUAACAAUUAAAAUUACAAACUCUUAAUAAUAGUCAAGUACUAUUAUUCUUUAGACAACUAUAAACCAAUCACAUUCAAGUUUAUAUCCAUUUUCACACCUCCCACUAUUUCUCAUGACUUUAAUGAGAAAUCAUUUCAUACAUUCAAAAUGUAUAAAAGUGGAUUAUAUUGGUAGAAGACAUUGUGUAGUAGCUUUGAAACAUUUCAAGCUUAUUUGUUUCAAUCUUCACCAAGUUUAAUGUCUUGUUAUUUAAGUGACUAAAGUCUUUAAACCUUUUAUAGAUUUAGACACUUCUUUCUUGGUUUAAUCACUAACACCAUUGACAUUUUAAAACAAUUUUAAGAAUGCCCAAUUAAUUGUUCAAAACUACUAAUUGUAUCAAGAGUGAUCUUGAUCAUUGUGUUUCAAGUGAUAACCAUAUAAGAAACGUUUUUCUUAUUACUUAUAUCAUUGUAAUGUGAUCUUCCUUUUCUUCAAGAAAGGAUUCUCUAG